rnacentral:ncRNA from 1 species
UAAGAGUUUGAUUCUUGCUUUAGUUUUUGUUUUAAGAUUAUACACACAUGUAUAUUUUGGUGGGGUUGCGAUAUAGGUAUUUAAGAUAUUUAUAUUAAAUUGAGUAAAGAUGUUAAGGAGUCGCAGUGUAGAGUUUUAAUAAUUGGACGAGAGUUUGAUUUAGUAAAUUUAAAGAGGCUUGAUUAAAUUUUUGUGCCAGCAGUCGCGGUUAGACUAAAAAGUCGAAUAAAGAUAAUUCCAAUAAAAGUUAUUAUUACGAUAUUUAGGGAUUAAUUGAAAUUUGGUUUAUAUAAAAGGUAGAAUUGGUUUAUUAAAAAUAAAUUGAGAUUGGUGUUUAAAUUGGUAGAGGCUUGAAAAAUUAAGAUAUAAAACAGGAUUAGAUACCCUGCUAUACUUAGGGAAAACUAUUUAAUUGGAAUAUUAAUAGUUAUAGGCUUUAAAUUCAAAGAAUUUGGCGGUAUUUUAGUCUUGUUAGAGGAACCUGUUCUGUAAACGAUACUACACGAAGAAUCUUACUUACUUUUGUUUUUCAGUUUGUAUACCGUCAUUAUUAGAUAACCUUUGUUGAGGAAGUUAUUGAAGUGGAAUAAGUUAAAUAUAUUAGAUCAAGGUGCAGCUAAUAGGUAAGAAGAAAUGGGUUACAAUAAAAUUUAUUUAUACGUAUUAGUAGCAGAAUUAGCUAUUGUGAAGGAGGAUUUAAUUGUAAUGGGAGUUUAAUAAGUCAAUAUGAUAUGAGAACUAAAAUAUGUACAUAUCGCCCGUCGCUUCCAUUUAAGGUGGAAUAAGUCGUAACAUAGUAGGUGUACUGGAAAGUGCACCUGGAAUUAU